rnacentral:ncRNA from 1 species
UUCUGGGAGGAUUGUCAGAUUAAGAGCUCCUUCUUGAUUCUUUGGGUAGUGGUGCAUGUCCGUUCUUAGUUGGUGGAGCGAUAUGUCCUGUUAUUUCUGAUAACGAACGAGACUCUAGCCUAC